rnacentral:rRNA from 1 species
UACGUAGGUGGCAAGCGUUGUCCGGAAUUACUGGGCGUAAAGCGCGUGUAGGCGGGAGGCCAAGUCUGUGGUGAAAUCGCCUGGCUUAACUGGGCGGGGUCCAUGGAAACUGGUCACCUGGAGGUCGGUAGAGGCAAGUGGAAUUCCCGGUGUAGUGGUGAAAUGCGUAGAGAUCGGGAGGAACACCAGUGGCGAAGGCGGCUUGCUGGGCCGGACCUGACGCUGAGACGCGAAGGCGUGGGGAGCGAACGGG